GUGACAAGGAAGGGUGCUUUGCUCUUGGCCCUAAGAGAUAACUAGAAGUUGAGUUCUGGCUGCAUUUUGCUUUCUGCAAGGAGAGAGCAGACCUGGACAUUGUAACCCUCAGGGACUGGGUGAAAAGGAAGAAGCCCAGGGAAAACAGUAACAGCUAAUUGAAGGAGUUAAAGGAAGCAGCACAUGGUUGCUAUUUGUAGGGUUCCUAGGUUGUUACUUGGAGUAGUGGGUAGGCCUGGGUCCCCUAGCUGGCCACAGGGGAAGUGGCCUAAGCCCUGAGAAGGGGAUAAGACUCUUUACUGAAAGCCCAAGAAAAUGCCUGGAGUUUAAACAGGCCCAGAGAUGGGGCUGAAGACCCCGAGGAGGCCAACCAUUUGUUGAAUUUUGUUACCCUGAAAGGGGACUGAAUUUAAGAGGGGACUGGGCUGGAGAGCUGGGGCACCAACAGGUCAGGACUCUUUGUCUUUUGUGAGAAAGCCCUGGGGGCAGAACUCUAUAUCAGAGCAGGGAUGGACUUAAAGCUAGCCCAGAAGGGUCUGAGACCUGAGCCCAGAGAUGGGCUAAAGACACUAACAGGGCACAGUGAUAGGCCAUUUGGAUCUUUAUUACCCUGGAAGGGUUCAUUCAGCCAUUGUUGACUGCAUGACUUAGCUGGAGGGCUGAGUCAAAGAAGACCCACCUGAUGAAGUCAACAACCUACAGAGGAUUCUAGGAGAAAAAGAAAAUGACAGUACCACACCAGCCAAGAGGAGGCACUUAGUCACAAAAGAUGCAAUCUCCCAUUAUGCCAACAUAGUAAUACCACCUUCCCGUCUGAUGUUGAACCAUGGUCAAUGUAUUGAGGUUGAUGCAGCAUGAAGAUAAACACUGUGUUACCUAUGUUGACCCUAACAGUCCUCCAGCAGCUGUCUCACAAUGCCUGACACUCGCUGCUCUGGUCACAAUUGUGAAUUCUGCUGUCCAGGGAUCAUGGAGACUGAAGGCCCCCCUUUAAAACUGUGAAUUUUCAAAUGCCUUUUAAUGAUUGUCCAGCUUGGCAAGAACACCUAGCAUCUCUCCACUGUUAUGUGCAACUUCCCAGCUGACCAUGCCAGCUACAUGUUCCAGAUGCACUCUGGAGUAGGCAGGAGAUAUUGGAUCUCCAGGGCCUAUGGUGACAAGAGGCUGUGCAAGCACAGCUAUGGACCAGCUGUAGAAACAUGGACAUCUACAAGCAGAUUUCAUGGGGGAUGCAGGAGAAUGGGUGCAACAGGGAUCAGCAGCGGUGCUGUGUGAAAGAGAAGGAACUGCAGCAGGCAUAUCAGAAGGCCAGUACCAAGCUGCAGACCUGCCACUUUUCCAAAGAGCUGCAUGCCAUACUUGAUGGAGACCCCACCGUGGAUACCUCAGAGGAACCAAAGUCCCAGGUCCCUGGCAUGAACUGCAAGGACAAGGAGGAGGAGGAUGAGGAACAUCCAAUUGGGGAAUCCAGCUAUGCUGCAAUCCAGUCACUCCUGGCAGCUGAGCAUGGGUGAGCCUGAUGCAGGGGAAGGAACCUUGACUGCUGCCAUUAUAGCUUUGAGGGGUUCUCCCUCCACAACUGCGGAACACCAGAGUCAGAAAAGGAGGAGAAAGAAGCAGACUUGGGAUAACAUGUUCAGCGAGAUCCUGAGAGCCAGUGCUGCAUCAGCCCACAAACAGAGGGCCUGGAGGAUGAAUAUUGUAGACUAUAUGAAGAAGGAAAGUGCAGACAGAAGAAAGGCCCAGGAGUCCCAGCUGCAAAAGGUGAGAAAGAUGCACCAAGACAUAAUGGAGCUUCUCCAUCAGCAAACACAGGUGUUGCGGGCUCUUGUGGACCUACAGAUUCAACAAUCCCAUACUUGUCUCCCUGUGCAGUCCAUGGAGAAGUCCAUUUUAGCAUCUUCCUACACCCCCUGAACAUUGCAUGUGGCAUCAGGUGCCACAUCACUACCCCUACCACCCAGGGGGGCAUUAGGGACAAACACAGCUUCAUGUACACUGACUUGUGAC